rnacentral:rRNA from 1 species
GACGGUAGGGCGCGAGCGUUUGUCCGGAUUUAUUGGGCGUAAAGAGCUCGUAGGCGGCUUGUCGCGUCCGACUGUGAAAACCCGUGGCUCAACCAUGUGGUCUGCAGUCGAUACGGGCAGGCUAGAAUUCGGUAGGGGAGACUGGAAUUCCUGGUGUAGCGGUGAAAUGCGCAGAUAUCAGGAGGAACACCGGUGGCGAAGGCGGGUCUCUGGGCCGAUACUGACGCUGAGGUGCGAAAGCGUGGGGAGCAAACAGG